CAUUCGUUCGUGCGAUCAGACUGGUUGCUUCUUUUUCGCUAAAACUAGUUUAUUGUGCUUCGAUGUCACGCGUUCUUUAACUUGGGGUGAAGUGACGUGUUUGCAAACGGACAUGUAAGCCCGAAAGUUGGGUAUCGGUCGUGAGCCAUUCGGAACACGUCUGCAUCGAAACGGGAGCUGGAUUCUGGUGCGGCUGACAACGGCAAUAACGACAUGCAGUAAUGAGGAUGGCACCAGUAUAAAGCAACACACUCCACACACUAAACAGAAGUUGCUGCCUGCUACAACAAGGCCAUUGUGUGGACAUUGGCUGCUACUACAAGAGUCCAUGCCAAGCAUACCUUGGUCAUCACAGGAGCUCCUAUCCACACCAACAGAAAGGGGCUGGAGCUGAAUUUGCAAGGCUUUUACACCACGAACAAAGAAGCGCAUGCAGAAGAAUUUACAUGAGAUAUCAAGUCUGCAGAGCACUGUGUCAAGACUGAAAAGAGCUUCAGCCACCAUUCCACCAGCGCGGACAAAUUGGCUGAG